CACCGCCCUGCCCGACUCCACGCUGCCGGGUGGGAGCCCCGUGGGCGCGCGACGGGACCCCACGGUGCUGGAGUGCGGCGCACACUCUCGGCUCGCACCCCAGCUCUCCCCGAAAUAAACUGCAGGACGAACAGUGACAGAUCCAGCGGGGCUGUGAGUGAGCGGGCUUGGAUAGCGACGUGCAGCCCGUCCAAGCGAGACGUGCUCGGAACGCAACCCCCGUCUCCAGCAAUGACCCGACACAGCGCUGGGUGUCUGCGCUAUUUCACCCCAUACAGCCCGCUGGUCCCAGCGCCGCGGGGCUCCUUACAACCUGGAAGGAGCUCUCCUGGGUGCUCCGUGGCUGCUGCUGGGAGCUGCCAGCCCCCUCUUGCCUGGUACUGGGAUCUUAGGGCCAGACCCACGGCUGAGUGACACCAGUACGGACAGCUGCCCCAAGGAGCCGGAUGCAGACGUGGCAGGAUUUGAUGUUGCUUGCUGCAGCCUUCAUGCCAAAAGUCAUCCUCCUGCACUGGCACCCUUCUUGUUGAAGGGUUACACCAGCCAAGUUCAGACAGAGCAGCACUGGAGUUUUGACAGAACUCACGGCUAUUUGCAGCCAGGUUUCUCCAUCAAGGACAACAUGAUCCUGGAGGAGAUGACUGGAGGGAUGGUCACCACUUGUCUUUCAAGGUCUGGAAUGCUUCUUGGCUGCUCCAGCACCGGAUGAGGUCACUGCCAGCACACCUGCAUUCAUCUCCUGCUACUUUCUGCCACUGUCUGUGGCUUUGAGGCCUAAUGCUGCUACAAAGCAAGCUGAAAAAUGGGUUUUCAUUUCAACACUUCGGGGAUUGAGCCCUCCCUUCUACACUGAUUGAGCUGCGCGACACAGCUGGUCUAGCACGGGAGUAAACCUUGUUCACGUAAGAUAUAUGUGCUGUUCUACUCCCUUUCAUACACAGCCUCUGGAGAAAGAGAAUCGUUGCUCUGAUCAGAAAAGCAACAUCAGCUCAUGUUGCCACUGGAGGUCUGACC
rnacentral:lncRNA from 7 species